CCUACGGGAGGCAGCAGUGGGGGAUAUUGCACAAUGGGGGAAACCCUGAUGCAGCGACGCCGCGUGAGUGAAGAAGUAUUUCGGUAUGUAAAGCUCUAUCAGCAGGGAAGAAAGUGACGGUACCUGAGUAAGAAGCCCCGGCUAACUACGUGCCAGCAGCCGCGGUAAU
rnacentral:rRNA from 1 species